rnacentral:rRNA from 1 species
UGGGGAAUCUUGGACAAUGGGGGCAACCCUGAUCCAGCCAUGCCGCGUGAGUGAUGAAGGCCUUAGGGUCGUAAAGCUCUUUCGCCUGUGAAGAUAAUGACGGUAGCAGGUAAAGAAGCCCCGGCUAACUUCGUGCCAGCAGCCGCGGUAAUACGAAGGGGGCAAGCGUUGUUCGGAAUUACUGGGCGUAAAGGGCGUGUAGGCGGUCUAAUCAGUCAGUGGUGAAAGCCCUGGGCUCAACCCAGGAAUUGCCUUUGAUACUGUUAGACUAGAGUUCGGGAGAGGAUAGUGGAAUUCCCAGUGUAGAGGUGAAAUUCGUAGAUAUUGGGAAGAACACCAGUGGCGAAGGCGGCUAUCUGGACCGAUACUGACGCUGAGGCGCGAAAGCGUGGGGAGCAAACAGGAUUAGAUACCCUGGUAGUCCACGCCGUAAACGAUGUCUGCUAGUCGUUGGGGGGCCGUAGCCCUUCAGUGGACGCCGCUAACGCAUUAAGCAGACCGCCUGGGGAGUACGGUCG